GAUCCGUGGCUCGAGGACGACGCUGGCGGCGUGCUUAACACAUGCAAGUCGAACGGAAAGGCCCUGCUUUUGUGGGGUGCUCGAGUGGCGAACGGGUGAGUAACACGUGAGUAACCUGCCCUUGACUUUGGGAUAACUUCAGGAAACUGGGGCUAAUACCGGAUAGGAGCUCCUGCUGCAUGGUGGGGGUUGGAAAGUUUCGGCGGUUGGGGAUGGACUCGCGGCUUAUCAGCUUGUUGGUGGGGUAGUGGCUUACCAGGGCUUUGACGGGUAGCCGGCCUGAGAGGGUGACCGGCCACAUUGGGACUGAGAUACGGCCCAGACUCCUACGGGAGGCAGCAGUGGGGAAUAUUGCACAAUGGGCGGAAGCCUGAUGCAGCAACGCCGCGUGCGGGAUGACGGCCUUCGGGUUGUAAACCGCUUUCGCCUGUGACGAAGCGUGAGUGACGGUAAUGGGUAAAGAAGCACCGGCUAACUACGUG
rnacentral:rRNA from 1 species